rnacentral:rRNA from 1 species
AUUGAACGCUGCCGGCAUGCCUUACACAUGCAAGUCGACCGGCAGCACGGACUUCGGUCUGGUGGCGAGUGGCGAACGGGUGAGUAAUACAUCCGAACGGACCCAGUGAUGGGGGCUAACUAUCCGAAAGGAUAGCUAAUACCGCAUACGCCCUACGGGGGAAAGAGGGGGAUCGCAAGACCUCUUCUUCUUGGAGCGGCCGAUGGCUGAUUAGCGAGUUGGCGGGGUAAAGGCUCACCAAGGCGACGAUCAGUGGCGGGUCGUAGAGGACGAUCCGCAACACUGGAACUGAGACACGGUCCAGACUCCUACGGGAGGCAGCAGUGGGGAAUCUUGGACAAUGGGCGCAAGCCUGAUCCAGCAAUGCCGCGGGCGUGAAGAAGGCCUUCAGGUUGUAAAGCGCUUGUGUCUGGGAGCAAAUCCUUGUGGUUAAUACCCACCGGGGAUGAGAGUACCAGAAGAAUAAGGACCGGCUAACUACGUGCCAGCCGCCGCUGUAACAC